CAUCUCAAAAUAAAUAAAUAAAUAAAACAAAAUCAGAAGUUUUUCUUCUACAACAGCUCCAGUAUUUCAUCCCCUCAUGGAAAAUAGGUACUCCAGAAUGAUACACACAAACUUCUUUUAGACUCUCUAGGCCCCGAUAUGUCUUUGAACAGCCUUCAUUCUUACGUGAGGUCCCAAUCUUAAUUUCAUCUUUGUCUUCUUUAUUAUUAUCUUCUUCAUUCCCUAAUGAUGGUUUAAGUUUAUUAAGUGCUUGUUUUAGGUAGGCAGAUAUUUUUAAUUCCAAAUUUGUCAUUGGUUCAUCUGGGCUUGGCCUUUUUAUUGCUUCUACUGGCUUAGGGGCUUGAAUGAUGUGUUCCUGAAAUUUGGGUUUCAAUUCAGAUCUUUCUUCUCAGUAGUCUUGACUUCAGAUUUGACUGGCUCAAGUGGCUUCUCACUGUCAUAUCUACCUUUUGUACAAUAUAUGAUGCUUAAGAAAUCAGAAAAAUUGGGCCGGGUGCGGUGGCUCAUGCCUGUAAUCCUAGCACUUUGGGAGGCCGAGGUGGGUGGAUCACCUGAGGCCAGGAGUUCAAGACCAGCCUGGCCAUUAUGGUGAAACCCCAUCUUUAAAAAAUAAUAAUUAAAUAAAUAAAUAAAAAAUAAAUCAGAAAAAUCAUUUGUUCUUCACUUACAGCAAGACCAAACCUUUAAUGCGUCAUGAAAAACUGGAACACCUGGGUGGUAUGUGGAAGCAUCAUUGGAAUUGGUCUCAGGAUUGAAGCACUGACCACAGUCCCAGCUGUAGCACAGCAAAGCCAUUUUCUUUUCCCACUGUCAGAAGCAAGGCCCAAACACUGGGAACAGAAAGAGGAUGCAUUAGCCACUCCCGUGUUGCCAGCACCGGUGUGUCAACUGCUAUUUUAGUUUCUUCUUUGAGUGGCUAUUUAUAUCCUUUGCCCAUUUUGCUUUUGAUCUUUUCUCUAUUUUUAGAUGUUGGAGAUAUUAGUGUUGUCUGUGAUAUAAUUUGCAAAUAUAUUUUUCCAUUUGUCAUUUGUCUUCCAACUUGGCUUGGCUUUUAGUGUUUUGUUUUGUUUGCCUUGAUGUUUUUGUUUUAUGUAGUCAAAUUUAUUCUUUCUUUUUGUUCAUUGUUUCUGGACUUUGAGUCAUAGGUAGAAAGAUUAUUCCAACUUUCAGAUUGUAAAAGAAUUCUUACGCUUUUCCCUAAUAAUGUGUGAUUUCACUUUUUAUACUUAGCUGUUUAAUUCAUUUGGAAUUUAUCUUGUUACAUGGUAUAAAGAAAAUAUCUAAUUUUAUAUUUUAUUUUUUCCAAGUGGCCAUCUAGUUAUCCCAAUACUAUUUAUUAAAAGUCAGCUUUUGGGCUGCACAGUCAUAAAACUGAGGAGGCAGAGCCAAGACGGUCAGGACUGCUCGCUAACUCUAUGAACAGGUUUAAGUUUUUGAAACUGAAGUAGGUCUACACAGUAGGAACUCAUGUCUUUCCUUGUAAGUAAACCAGAGCAAAUCAGGACCAAGGAGGUGAUCUCAGAGUCGAUAGCAUCCUUUUCUAAUCAGGAAAUCAUGAGUAGCUUUCUGCCAGAGGGAUGGUGUUAUGAACUGCUCACUGGGGUAGGCAAAGGAUUUGAGGACCUGACAACUUUGAAUCUAGCAAGGUACAAACUAAUGGGAGAGUAUAUGACUGCAAGAUUAACCUGGAAGCUUGUUCCAGUGCGAUGGUAGCAUUAUUGCAGGGCAAGCUGCAUAUCUCUAGACUCUUCAAACAUCCCAAUAUUGUGCCAUAUCGAGCCAACUUUAUUGCAGACAAUGACAAUGAGCUGUGGGUUGUCACAUCAUUAAUGGCGUAUGGUUCUGCAAAGGAUCUCAUCUGUACACACUUUAUGGAUGGCAUGAAUGAGCUGGCAAUCACUUACAUCCUGCAGGGGUGCUGAAGGCCCUCGACUACAUCCACCACAUCGGAUAUGUACACAGGAGUGUCAAAACGAGCCACAUCCUCAUCUCUGUGGAUGGGAAGGUCUACCUGUCUGGUUUGUGCAGCAACCUCAGCAUGAUAAGCCACCAGCAGUGGCAGUGAGUGGUCCACGACUUUCCCGAGUACAGUGUCAAGGUUCUGCUGUGGCUCGGCCCUGAGGUCCCCAGAAGAAUCUCCAGGGUUAUGAUGCCAAGGCUGACAUCUACAGUGUGGGAAUCACAGUGUGUGAACUGGCCAAUGGCCACGUCCCCUUUUAAGAAUAUGCCUACUACCCAGAUGCUGCAGAGAAAUUGAAUGGCACAGUGCCCUGCCUGUUGGAUACCAGCACCAUCUUCUCCAAGGAGCUGACCAUGAGCCCUUCAUGCUCAGUGGCCAACUCAGGCCUGAAUGAAAGCCUGACCACCAGCAACCCCUGGCCUCCAAUGGCAACUCGCCUACUCACCCUUACCACCGAACCUUCUCCCACUUCCACCACUUUGUGGAGCAGUGCCUUCAGUGCAACCCAGAUGCCUGGCAGAACACCAGCACCCUCCUGAACCACUCUUUUUCAAGCAGAUCAAGCGACGUGCCUCAGAGGCUUUGCCUGAAUUGCUUUGUCCUGUCACCCCCAUCACCAGUUUUGAAGGCAGCCAGUCUCAGGACUGCAGUGGAAUCUUUGGCUGAGUAACAAACCUGGAAGAGCUAGAGGUGGACGAUUGGGAGUUCUGAGCCUCUGCAAACUGUGCGCACUCUCCAGCCAGGAACACAGAGGCCUCCCAGAGGCCCUACCUGAGGGCUGGCCACAGUCCCACCUUCCUGGGCAGAUUGAGUAGAAAGGACAUUCUUUCAGGAAAGUUGGCUGCUGACUGAUUGGGAAAGAAAAUCCUGGAAAGACACUUCUUCACUGCUCCAAGGCUUUUGAAUCUCAACAACCAGGGAUCAGGAGGGUCUGAAGCCGACAUCCCCAGUCCUGUGAGCUCAGGUGACCUUCGCAGAAGGAAGAGAUGCUAUUCUGGCCCUGGAAGCUGAAUUCCAAGACCAGGGUUUGACUCAUUUACCCUGAGGACCACCACCUCUUCCCAAUGCUUGCAACCAGCCUCAUUCUAUUUAACUUUGCUCUCAGAUAUUAUAGGUCAGUGAAGGUCAAGUAGUAAGCUGCCUGCCUCCCUUCCCCUACACCUCUCCCUCAUAAUUGCAGAGAAGGGUAUUUCAGUCUUUUUAAACACAGACUAAGUCUGAGACUGUCCAUCCUUAUUGCUAUUCUGGCUUGGGCGUUGACACCUAAAUCUUUCCCACGGUUUAUGUGUGUGCCUCAUUCCUUUCCGACCAAGAACCCAUCUUAGCACCUCCUGCCAGGUGCCCUGGUGCUUUCUCCAAGGGCCAUCAGUGUCUUGCCUAGCUUGAGGGCUUAAGUUUUCAUGCUGUGUUAGUUUUGUUGUCAGAACAAAUUAAAAUUUCCAGAGACAAAAAAAGGGUCAACUUUUCUCCUUCUUACUUUAAAUGCCACUUUUAUAAUAUGCUAAAUUGUGUGUCCGUUAGUUCUAUUUCUGGACUUUCUAUUCUAUCACAUUGUUCAGGCCAUCUAUUCAUGUGCCAAUAUCACAGAUUUAAUUACAGAGGCUUCAUAUACAUUGCUUUAAAAAAUAUAUUAUUGGCUGGUACAGUGGCUCACAUCUGUAAUCCUAACAUUUUGGAAGACCAAGGCAGGUGGACCACUUGAGUCCAGGAGUUUGAGACCAGCCUGGGCAAUCUGGCAAAAUCCGGACAUUAUAAAAAAAAUUAGCCCUGGGUUGUGGUGCACACCUGUGGUCCUGGUUACUCAGGAGGCUGAAGCAGGAGGAUCUUGAGCCCAGGAGGUGGAUGUUGCAGUGAGCUGAGAUCACACCACUGCAAACCAGCCUGGAUGACAAAGCAAGAUCCUGUCUCAAAAAAAAAAAAAAAAAAAAAAAAAAUGCUGAAUGUUCUUUGCCCAAGGGUGAGGAUGCAGUAAUUUUUUGCCUUAGAAUUGGUCAACUGUUAAUCUGUUCAAUGUCCUCUCAGUGCUGACAGCAGCAAAUACAACUGAGAAAGCUGAGAAUUCUGCACAAACCUUGCAUACUGUUUCCGGACUCUUCCCUGCAUGUAUGUAAUGGUUAAAAGCAUAGUCUUUAGAAUUAUGAUAUUGAAUCCAAUUUAAGUUGUUUAUUAGUUGUGUGACCUAGCCUACUGGUCUAAUAUAAGUCUGUUGAGCUCUAGUUUAUUGAGCUGAUCAUGAAGCUCUCCAAGCCUCAAUUUCCCUAUAAUGGAGAUAAGAGUAUCUCAUGUGGUGUUUAGAAAAACUAAAUGAGAUAAUCCAUGUAAAAUCCUGCUAUGGUUUGUAUUAUUAGC